CAGUUCAUUUACAUGAAAUCAUAUCCAGAUGCCAUGAAGUUUGACACUGCCACAUUGCCUAGCAACGGUUUCAUGAGAGCCUGCGUCACAGAUACAGGGAUGUCGAUUGACGGAUCAUUAAAUGAGGGCAUUGACACGUGCUGCACUGUCUUGACGCUUUAAUAGGACGUUGCACCUAUAUUUU